rnacentral:rRNA from 1 species
AGAAUCAACGCUGGCGGCGUGCCUAACACAUGCAAGUCGCACGAGAAAGGGACUUCGGUCCUGAGUACAGUGGCGCACGGGUGAGUAACACGUGAAUAAUCUACCUCCGAGUGGGGAAUAACUGAGAGAAAUCUUAGCUAAUACCGCAUAACACUUACGAGUCAAAGCAGCAAUGCGCUUGGAGAGGAGUUCGCGGCAGAUUAGUUAGUUGGCGGGGUAAUGGCCCACCAAGACGAUGAUCUGUAUCCGGCCUGAGAGGGCGCACGGACACACUGGAACUGAAACACGGUCCAGACUCCUACGGGAGGCAGCAGUGGGGAAUUUUGCGCAAUGGGGGAAACCCUGACGCAGCAACGCCGCGUGGAGGAUGAAAUCCCUUGGGAUGUAAACUCCUUUCGAUCGGGAAGAUAAUGACGGUACCGAGAGAAGAAGCCCCGGCUAACGUUCGCGCCAGCAGCCGC